AGGCAGCCUUCUUGCCACGAUAAUUAAAUGGCAUGAGAGGUGUUAAACUGCUCGUAUAUAAAAUUCUUUUGCUCUUCAGACUUGCUGAAAUUAUUUUGAAGCUGGUCUAGUAAGCUCAAGUACAUU